CACUCAGUAUUAACCAUUAUAUUGUCUUUCUCAGAGGCCGUACACAGUCUGACCCUGACCCCCUUUUCUCUGACUUCAUUCCCUGUGACUCUCCUCCUGAUCAUUGCUCUCAGCCAUUCUGUGCUUCGUGCUGUCCCUGUGACUCAGCCCCUGUGCCAACAUCUGAGGGUCUUUCCACAUGCUCUUCCUCUUUCUGGAGUGCCUUUCCCCCAGAUUUUCACAUGGCUCUCCCCUUUUCUCCUUCAGGUCUCUGC
rnacentral:lncRNA from 1 species